UACGGAGGGUGCGAGCGUUGUCCGGAAUCAUUGGGCGUAAAGGGCGCGUAGGUGGCGGGACAAGCGUGCGGUGAAAGCUCGGGGCUCAACCCCGCGUCGGCCGUGCGAACUGUUUUGCUUGAGCACUGUAGAGGCAGGCGGAAUUCCGGGUGUAGCGGUGGAAUGCGUAGAGAUCCGGAAGAACACCGGUGGCGAAGGCGGUUAGCUGGGCAGUUGCUGACACUGAGGCGCGACAGCGUGGGGAGCAAACAGGG
rnacentral:rRNA from 1 species